AUUGAACGCUGGCGGCAUGCCUUACACAUGCAAGUCGAACGGUAACAGGUUAAGCUGACGAGUGGCGAACGGGUGAGUAAUGUAUCGGAACGUGCCCAGUCGUGGGGGAUAACUGCUCGAAAGAGCAGCUAAUACCGCAUACGACCUGAGGGUGAAAGCGGGGAUAGCAAGACCUCGCGCGAUUGGAGCGGCCGAUAUCAGAUUAGGUAGUUGGUGGGGUAAAGGCCUACCAAGCCUAAGAUCUCUAGCUGGUCUGAGAGGACGACCAGCCACACGGGGACUGAGAAAAGGCCCAGACUCCUACGGGAGGAAGCAGUGGGGAAGUUUGGACAAUGGACGCGAGUCUGAUCCAGCCAUGCCGCGUGCGGGAAGAAGGCCUUCGGGUUGUAAACCGCUUGUGUCAGGGAAGAAAAGGUUCUGGUUAAUACCUGGGACUCAUGACGGUACCUGAAGAAUAAGCACCAGCUAACUACGUGCCAGCAGCCGCCGUAAAAC
rnacentral:rRNA from 1 species